rnacentral:rRNA from 1 species
GUCGAACGAGGUCCAUCUUGUAGCAAUACAAGUGAAGACCUAGUGGCGAACGGGUGAGGAACACGUGAGAAAUUUGCCCCGAACUUUGGGAUAACAGUUGGAAACGACUGCUAAUACCGAAUGCCGUUACGAAGUGGCAUCACUAUGUAACGAAAGAAUUUCGGUUCGGGAGAAUCUCGCGGCCUAUCAGCUUGUUGGUGAGGUAACGGCUCACCAAGGCUACGACGGGUAGCUGGUCUGAGAGGAUGAUCAGCCACACUGGGACUGAGACACGGCCCAGACUCCUACGGGAGGCAGCAGUGGGGAACCUUGUGCAAUGGACGAAAGUCUGACACAGCCACGCCGCGUGCGGGAAGAAGGCCUUCGGGUUGUAAACCGCUUUCAGCAGGAACGAAAAUGACGGUACCUGCAGAAGAAGGAGCGGCCAA